CGGGUAGCCGCUUGGAAAAUGACAACAGAUCACAGAGGAGCCACAAGGCCGUACUAGUCGAAAACAGAACAUAUCGUCAAGCUAAAAUCGUUGAGUGCAAUUGCAUGGCAACAGCCAGCCUGUCCUUCAGCUAAUAUAGGAAGAGGCAAGAAACCCAUAGAAGCACAAUGUUGUGACUCAUUUUCUCAGAUAAGUGAUUCAUUUUUCUACACAUUGAAGUUCAAGUGGCGUAUUUAAAACAUGAUAAUCAGAUUUGUAGCAGCAUUGACCCACAUGGCUGACUUGAUCGCUUCUUGCUGCUGUACAAAGCAGAAGAAGAUGACAGCAGCGGGAUGACACAACCGUUGACAACAACAAGUGUGGACCGUGUCUCAGGACAAAACAACAUCCAGUCCGCACGUCUUCUGAUCCUUUUUUUCCUCUUGGGUGAUGCCACGUUUGUUCUAAUGAUGACUUUUCCAGAAAAUCCCAGUGGGGAAGUCGGAUCCUGUCUGACAGCUGACAAGCUUCCCAUUCCUAUUCCCGAUCAUGAUCAUCUCGACUGACUCCGGAAAAAAGAAAUAAUUAAACACUUCACUUAUUUGUGUGUGUGUGUGUGACAUAAGGCCGCAAAAUAUGCUUUGGUGUGUCGUGGUACUCAUGUGACCAAUGACUAUGAACAAGUAAUAAUAGUGCUUUUGAUGAUGAAACUUCAAUCAGUUCAAUGUAGAAAAAAUAAAAUAAAAUAAUUAAAAUAGAAUCAUUUCAAAAU